rnacentral:rRNA from 1 species
GGUCCUACGGGGGGCAGCAGUGAGGAAUUUUGCGCAAUGGGCGAAAGCCUGACGCAGCAACGCCGCGUGAGUGAUGAAGGCCUUCGGGUCGUAAAGCUCUGUCAAGUGGGAAGAACCUAUAUAAUGAUAAUACCAUUAUAUACUGACGGUACCACUGAAGGAAGCACCGGCUAACUCCGUGCCAGCAGCCGCGGUAAUACGGGGGGUGCAAGCGUUAUUCGGAAUCAUUGGGCGUAAAGAGCACGUAGGCGGCCUGGUAAGUCAGAUGUGAAAGCCCGGGGCUUAACCCCGGAAGUGCAUUUGAUACUGCCAGACUUGAGUAUGGGAGAGGGAAGUGGAAUUCCUGGUGUAGAGGUGAAAUUCGUAGAUAUCAGGAGGAACACCGGUGGCGAAGGCGACUUCCUGGACCAAUACUGACGCUGAGGUGCGAAGGCGUGGGUAGCAAACAGGAUUAGAUACCCUGGUAGUCAUA